rnacentral:lncRNA from 1 species
AUGUGUGUGGUUUUAGUGGAGGCUUUGGUCUCAUUAUGUUUUGUCUUUUCUACUUUGAAAUUGAAGAAGAAGUGAGCUUUCAGAAAAUAUUUGUGGGAUAAUGGGUUCUUAGCCUCAGAAUUGAUGUGUGGUGUAGCUGAGUGCCACGAAGAAAAUGGUAUCUUGGAACGCCAGCUGGUUGGACAAUGCUGGUAUGAUCAAGUGGGUUGUGAGAGUACAAGACAAAGG